CCCUUAGAGUUUGAUCCUGGCUCAGAAUCAACGCUGGCGGCGUGCCUCAGACAUGCAAGUCGAACGCGAAAGGUUCCUUCGGGAACCGAGUAGAGUGGCGCACGGGUGAGUAACACGUAGGUAAUUUGCCUUUGGGUGGGGAAUAACUCAGGGAAACUUGAGCUAAUACCGCAUAAUGCAGCGGCUCGACAUCGAGACAGUUGUUAAAGCGGGGGAUUCGCAAGAACCUCGCGCCUGAAGAGAAGCCUGCGGCAGAUUAGCUAGUUGGUAAGGUAAUGGCUUACCAAGGCGACGAUCUGUAACCGGCCUGAGAGGGCGGUCGGUCACACUGACACUGACAUACGGGUCAGACUCCUACGGGAGGCAGCAGUCGGGAAUUUUGGGCAAUGGGCGAAAGCCUGACCCAGCAACGCCGCGUGAAGGAUGAAAUUUUUCGGAAUGUAAACUUCGCAAGAACGGGAAGAAUAAGUAGAAGCUAAUACCUUCUAUGAUGACGGUACCGUUUGUAAGCUCCGGCUAACUCCGUGCCAGCAGCCGCGGUAAUACGGGGGGAGCAAGCGUUGUUCGGAUUUACUGGGCGUAAAGGGCGCGUAGGCGGUCGUGGCAAGUCACUUGUGAAAUCUCCGGGCUUAACUCGGAACGGUCAAGUGAUACUGUCGGACUAGAGUACAGAAGGGGCAACUGGAAUUCUCGGUGUAGCGGUGAAAUGCGUAGAUAUCGAGAGGAACACCUGCGGCGAAGCGGGUUGCUGGGCUGAUACUGACGCUGAGCGCGAAAGCCAGGGGAGCGAACGGGAUAGAUACCCCGGUAGUCCUGGCCUAAACGAUGAAUGCUUGGUGUCUCGGGUAUAAGUCCC
rnacentral:rRNA from 1 species